rnacentral:rRNA from 1 species
GGCGACCGGCGCACGGGUGAGUAACACGUAUCCAACCUUCCGUUUACUCAGGGAUAGCCUUUCGAAAGAAAGAUUAAUACCUGAUAGUAUGGUGAGAUUGCAUGAUAGCACCAUUAAAGAUUUAUUGGUAAACGAUGGGGAUGCGUUCCAUUAGGUAGUAGGCGGGGUAACGGCCCACCUAGCCGACGAUGGAUAGGGGUUCUGAGAGGAAGGUCCCCCACAUUGGAACUGAGACACGGUCCAAACUCCUAUGGGAGGCAGCAGUGAGGAAUAUUGGUCAAUGGGCGAGAGCCUGAACCAGCCAAGUAGCGUGAAGGAUGAAGGUCCUACGGAUUGUAAACUUCUUUUAUACGGGAAUAAAGUAUCCUACGUGUAGGAUUUUGUAUGUACCGUAUGAAUAAGCAUCGGCUAACUCCGUGCCAGCAGCCGCGGUAAUACGGAGGAUGCGAGCGUUAUCCGGAUUUAUUGGGUUUAAAGGGAGCGCAGACGGGAGAUUAAGUCAGUUGUGAAAGUUUGCGGCUCAACCGUAAAAUUGCAGUUGAUACUGGUUUCCUUGAGUGCAGUUGAGGCAGGCGGAAUUCGUGGUGUAGCGGUGAAAUGCUUAGAUAUCACGAAGAACCCCGAUUGCGAAGGCAGCU